GCGGAAAUAGCUUAAUGGUAGAGCACAGCCUUGCCAAGGCUGAGGUUGAGGGUUCGAGUCCCUCCUUCCGCU
rnacentral:tRNA from 1 species